CAUGACCACGAUUCUCACAGCAGAAUGCCGAAAUUCGAACCAUGAAUUCAAUGGUUGGAGCUUCGGUACCCAUUACCCAACAGUUUAUUUAUUUAUUAGAGCAAUGUCUUCGAUUCGAGGUUUCAGUGGAGCUUGCAAGUCUGAAGAGAUAUGUGCAUCAAAUCCGCAAAAACCUCUCCCGAAUUCGGAUAUUUUUCUGACGUUUAACUUCGCAGCUGCCUUCUCUUGUGCUGUGGUUGUUCACUUGUAGAAGCUUGGGUCAGUGUCAGAAGUUGCUGGGCCACGUGUUGAUUGGAUUUGACAAGAUUGACAUUGCGGUGUAUCUGCUGCUGCAAUUGGUGUGGCGAUUUUUUGUGGAUAGCUUUCGAAGUCACGCUGCGUUGAUAGGAAGAGGGCUGAUGUAACGAUGCCGAAUGAAGCCCCGCUGAGCUGGGCUGCUCUGGCCGGUUGUCCAAUCUCAUCAAGGUUGUGGAAUUGUCCUUGUGGGGUCUCUUUCAAAGCUUUACUUGGCGCCGACAUUCCUGAGAUUUGCAGAGAUUCUUCGCCCUUCAAAGCUGCCGUUGAUGUCUGCUUGUGCCACUUCUAAAAGUCUCUACUUCGCAGUUGAAUGAGAGUUUGCUAGAGUUCGACAUGGCAAUUUGUUCAAAUGUCUUCGCUCUGCUACGAUAAUUUGACAUAGUGAACGAAGUUUCUUGAGGUGAAAAUUGACGCAAUGCCGAUGUAGCGAGAAGCGAGAGGAGUUGGAAGCAGGUGUGCUAAUAUUUCACGCAUAGGUUCCAUACAGUGGUAAACUCCACAUCCUCUUUCAUAUCAGUCUUGACUUCCGAAAGUUGUUUUGGCGCGUCGAUGGGAUAAUUCCGUUACACCCAGAUUCUGAGGGCAUCAUGAUAGCCUCAAAAAUCACUUGGCGAGGUUUUGUGUACAUAAGCAAUUGCGCAUUAGUCUUAGUAGAAUGACUGUCAAGGGUUAAGGGGUCAAGGGUUGAGAGGCCAGUUGGUUUAAAAAGACAGUUUAAUCGAAACUGCUCACCAGCGAAUUGUGUCAGCACCGUUUUCGAUUCUGGAUCUCUUAGAUUAUGUGUUGCUUGGAAUCAUCGACAAACGCAACAUUUUAGGAUGAAUUCGCUUACUUUCUACUGAUUAUGUGCGUGUAUGCGCAUGGAGGAAUGUUUUGUAGGUGUUGUUCAAACGAGUGUACCAUACAGACAAUGUUCAGUUCAUCAAGGGAUUUUUGUGGGUGUGGAUUGUGGAAUCAUGUUUUACAUCAAUAAGCAUGUGAUGAGUUUCGUGAAAUGAUUAUCAGCGCACCUCCUGUGCAUUAGAGCUUGAGAGAAAACUUGUACUGUAAUGUGAUAAUUGGGAGAUAUCGUACUUCAGGCUCAACAUACCCUAGUUACUCGCCGAUUCAACCUUCCCUGUUCUUUGUACAGUUGGAUGGCUACUGUAGAACUUGCUUAUUUAUUUCUGCUUUGUUGCUGAAAAUGUUGGCAAAGGGUGUCUCGUCACAGAGUAAUAAAACUUCAAUAGUCAUACUGAUGCUUA